rnacentral:rRNA from 1 species
UACGGGGGGGGCAAGCGUUGUUCGGAAUUACUGGGCGUAAAGGGCUCGUAGGCGGCCAACUAAGUCGGAUGUGAAAUCCCCAGGCUUAACCUGGGAACUGCAUCCGAUACUGGAUGGCUUGAAUCCGGGAGAGGGAUGCAGAAUUCCAGGUGUAGCGGUGAAAUUCGUAGAUAUCAAGCGGAAUACCGGUGGCGAAGGCGGCCUUCUGGACGGUGACUGACGCUGAGACGCGAAAGCGUGGGGAGCAAACAGG